GAAUAGAAUUACCAUAAUAGUCAUCCUAAAUUUUCACAUAACUUAUUUGAGCCUAAAAUUCCAUAUAAUGUGGAAAUAUCAUAUUAUAUGUAGUUAACAUUAUGCUGGGUUUUGAAAGCUCCUUAUUAGUUGAAAUGGACAGUUUACUAAACUCUGUUUCUUAGUUUCCUCAUCUGUAAAAUGUUGGUAAUUAUGACACCUACACCCUAGGUUUAUAGGAGGAUUAAAUGGGUCAGUCACUGCAAGGUCCUUAGCAAAUUGCCAGAUAUAUAGUAACCACUCAAAAAACAUUUGCUCUUACUUAUGCUUUUUGUCUGUCUGCUGUAGUUCAGGCUGCUUAUAAUAAAGUGCCAUAGACUGGGUCACUUAUAACAACAGAAUUUUUUUUUCUCACAGUUCUCAAGGCAGGAAGUUUGAGAUCACUGUGCCAGCAUGGUUGGGUUCUGGUGAGGGUCUGAUUCCAGGUUGCAGACUUCUCAUGGUAUUCUCACAUGGCAGAAAAGAAGGCAAAUGAACUCUUUCGGAUCUCUCUUAUAUGGCCUUAAUCCCAUUCAUGGAGGCUACACCCUCAUUCUCUAAUCAUCUCCCAAAGGCCCCCAUAAUACCACCAUAUUGGGAGUUUUAAUAUCAACAUACGAAUUUCGAGGAGCAAAUAUCAACAUUCAGCAUCCAGGGUAUGGGAAGCUUCAUUACAGAUUGAAAGUAUGUGAGAGUCAGGAUUCCAGUAAGAUAUGUCUUAUGGCAAAAUCAAAGAAUACUGGGAGCAGAAACCCUCAGAUCAACUGGAAAGGAAUGAAGGGAUACGUGGUGUGGCAGAAACUAAGCCUGACUGUCUAAGAAAAGUAUGCUGACUUUAAGAUUUUAUGUAGACUGCCUUCAACUUGAAGUCAUUAUUUUUUUUAAAUAGAAAAUUAUGGGACAGUUAUGUUACAUAGACCCACAAAAGAUUCAACAAUCAUUUGAAGUAAUUCUGGGGAAGAAAGAAUAUACUUCCUUCUCUAGAACUAG
rnacentral:lncRNA from 1 species